rnacentral:rRNA from 1 species
GAUGAACGCUGGCGGCGUGCCUAAUACAUGCAAGUCGAGCGAAUGGAUUAAGAGCUCGCUCUUAUGAAGUUAGCGGCGGACGGGUGAGUAACACGUGGGUAACCUGCCCAUAAGACUGGGAUAACUCCGGGAAACCGGGGCUAAUACCGGAUAACAUUUUGAACCGCAUGGUUCGAAAUUGAAAGGUGGCUUCGGCUGUCACUUAUGGAUGGACCCGCGUCGCAUUAGCUAGUUGGUGAGGUAACGGCUCACCAAGGCAACGAUGCGUAGCCGACCUGAGAGGGUGAUCGGCCACACUGGGACUGAGACACGGCCCAGACUCCUACGGGAGGCAGCAGUAGGGAAUCUUCCGCAAUGGACGAAAGUCUGACGGAGCAACGCCGCGUGAGUGAUGAAGGCUUUCGGGUCGUAAAACUCUGUUGUUAGGGAAGAACAAGUGCUAGUUGAAUAAGCUGGCACCUUGACGGUACCUAACCAGAAAGCCACGGCUAACUACGUGCCAGCAGCCGCCGUAA